CAGUCCAUCAACAAUUUACAGCAGUUCUCGCAUCUCCCUUGUGUAGGAUUCUCUCCCGGGGCCUGUAGAGCAGAGGGAGUUAGGUAUCUGGCAAACUAGCAAAUAUGUAUUCUCAUCCCAGCUCGGCCACUUUCCACAGCCAGCAAAUUUCAAAAGAGAAUUAAGUAGGUGAUUUUGACAAGCAAGGACACAAAAUCAUCAAUUCCUGUCACCCUGGUUUCAUAAAAGAAAGGGCAGGCUGACACAGAAAAAUGUAGGACAGACAAUCUCAGAAUUAAUUUAGCUUUGUGAAAAGUCCCCAUGCUGUCCCCGUUGUUCUCAUUUCGCCGUGUCCCAGUGUGGACUCUGUCGGAGACUGGCCCAGGUCUGCAGAACCUCUGCUCUAACCCAGUAAAGGAUGUGUCAUCAGCCAGAAAAACCAGAGCACAGAGCUCCAGUGUCGGGCGGGUUCCUCCUCACCCUGAUUCAAGAAGGAAGGCACAGCAAAUGUGUCUGGCCCACAGACAGGAGGCCAGACAGACUUCAUCACACUGAAGCUUCGUGUCCAUCUUUGAGCUCUGCUCAAUGGGUCAAAGCCUUUCUGUCCUUUUAUAAUGCCGUGGAUGCCUGUGAGCACCCAAUUUCAGCAAGCGGAGCCUACUGAAGGUCAGGCUAGCUCUUCCAGCCUCACGACCUGAUGUCGAUGAGAAAGGAAUGCUGGGAUUCCAGGUGCAUGCCUUUGCAUCCAGCAAUGUGGAAGGACCAGUUUGGUUGGGUUGCGUGGAUGAAGACAAAACAACGGCCAGCGAGGUCAUUCUGCGAUGUUUCUGAGGACUGACAGCCAACCCCACAGUCACUUGCCAGAGGAAGAGACCAAACGCCAGGGCCACUGCCAACAAGUGAAACCCCAAAUACAACACAACACAGCCCCAAAGCCCUCCUUCCAAGGUUCUCAGUAGGUCCCCAGCAAGGAGGGGGACACAUUCCUACUGAAAAGAAGACAAAACAGAGGCCAGAGGAGGCUUGCUCGAGUCCACCCGGCUUCCUUCUCUUGAAGAUGAACAGCUGUGUGCCCCUGAUGAUCCUGGGUGAUGGGGUCUCACCUCCUCCAGCCCUCACCCCUUCCUCUCAUUUGGACCCACGAAGCCUCUUUCCACCCCAGGGUCUCAAGAGUCUUCACAACCAGAACUUCUCUGCCAUCACCCUCUCUGCUCUUGGCCAGCUCUGCCAGCCACCAGGUUCCCAGGAAAAUGUCCAGAAGUCACCCCUCAGCCCCAGCAUAGCUUGAGGUCCUAUCCAACCUCACAGUCUCUCUGGUCUUUGGGACACUUUCCCCAACUAUACUUGACAAGUACAACAAUAGUUACUGUGUA